UAAAAAGAUGGUUAAGGACUUGACCAGAUGUCAACAACUUCGAUGCACUCCUGGAAGUUCAUAAUCUAUGUUCUGGAUGAUGUCAAAAGGAAAAGUUCAUGAUCCAGGGUCCCCUAGUCUGAGCAUUGAAGGUGCGGACCAUAGUAAAGCACCGAAAAAUUCUUUGUACUGUCCUCCGAUGUUAACUGACUGCAUGAUUACAAGAUGGAAUAUUUACUUCCCAGCAGAAAAAGGGAAGCUUGUGCUUUGCAUGGACUUCCAAAUGAAUCAUGGGAUGAAUCAUAGAGGAUGGCUUUCAUUGGGCUCACGCUUGGAGCUCCACUUCUCUGCAUCCUAUGCAGAAGAUUAGCCCAGAGCAGAAACAAUGGAUUGAACCACAAGAAUCUGAGACAAUUGAAUUUGAAAGACUUGUGAAUGAAGGGAUUCUUAGCCACCAUUCAAUUAUGUUGCAGUGGAAAGAGGGACUUGACAUCUCAAUCAAAAGCAUUGGAUUGAAUGGAAUUACCUUUACUGGUGAAAGAAUCGCGGUGGGACAUGGCUGAUCAGCUCAUGAAAACAACCGGUCCUUGCAUUCCAAAUUCCCCAUAGGUUAUCCAACAAAGAUAAAUUCAAGAAUCAUGAUAGGCAUCUCUCUCUCUCUGUGUAUCUCAAAAGUGGAAAAGCCAGCUAAUGACGUUAUGUUUUUUAUUGAACAGCACCCUAACAAGCAAAUAU